GCCCUCGUAGCUCAGUCGGCAGAGCACAUUCUUGGUAGGAAUGGGGUCCCCAGUUCGAUUCUGGGCGAGGGCUCCA
rnacentral:tRNA from 1 species